CUAUAAACAUAAGCUGUCUCUCUUCAUGUCACACCCUGGUCUCUGUAGAAUAUUUCUUUCUUAACUGCUGCAUUUCACAUGUGGCUCCAUGUGUAUGUCUGUGUAUCUGUGAACAGGGUGCAUCAGUUUUUUGAGGUUAUUUCUAUGAAUUUAUAAAAAGACACAUAGCACCUCAAAAAAACGUUAUAUUUGAAAACCAAUUGGUACAAAUAAUCUUGAGAAUUGUUUAAGCACACUUAUUUACGGAAUCCAUUUUAAAAUAGGGG